AUGCCCAGAUACCUUGAUUUGAUCUUGUUGCAAGACUUAGCACCUGGAGGCACCAUGGUUAGAGAUGAUCACACUGCAGUGCACAUAGGUCUAGGAAAGACAGAUUCAUUCAGAAUGGAGUCUAAUGUGGACAGAGAACUUAUUGUCCUAUGGGCAGGCCUGCUGGACACAUACCUGGAGGUGGAUGAGCUGCCCUCGUUGACAGAUACUGGUUUCAGAUGCAUUGGUCCAGAAUGCUCUAACCUGUGGUAUGAAGGAUACAGGCAGUACAAAAGCAGACAGCCACCAGGUGGGAGUUCCUGGGGUUUAAGUGGAGGACAUUGGAAUAGUCUCAAAUCCAUUGUGUGUCUGGAGACGAAAGUAGUAUGUUAUACACAUCUUGAAAUCAUGAAACAUUUUAUUGGAAAGGAUAGUUGUCAGAACAGCAUUUGGAAUACGCUACUCACUUCCACACUGGGUGAGUUCAUAAGUGAAGACAAAUGCAUUCCCAUGAGCUCCCUUGCUCUGGUACCCAACACCAAACAUGAACUCCUCACCACAACACCAUUAAACCGCUGAUCUACCUGCAUGGUAAAAUGUGUUCCACUGCACAUUAACUGAUUUAUGGGGAGAUUAACACGUGGAGGUAGUUCUGCACGCAUGCGGAAGUUCAGCACCCCAGUGAACCAAGAACUGAAUGUGGUGUCAUAGGGGGAUAUCAUUAUUUAUGGCACCAGCAGAGAAAAAUCACUGCCUUGUCUUCUACAGCUAGACAAAUCCCUAUGGUAAACAACAGGCAUACCACAACCCCACUCUCCACUCUCCACUCUCCACUCUUCACUCUUCACUCUUCACUCUUCACUCUUCACUCUUCACUCUUCACUCUUCACUCUUCACUCUCCACUCUCCACUCUCCACUCUCCACUCUCCACUCUGACCUGUAGCACUGGUAAAGGCCCUGUUAAUAAAGGACUCUCUGAUGGCUCUAUUUGUUGCGUCAGGUUGGCAAAGCACAGGUGUUGAUAAUCGUUAAUCAAUGUGCAAUCAGUAAGUGCACGCAUGUGCACAGCAUUUUAAGUUUGGAACCUAUAAAAUCAAUGAGAGAUGAUACUUGCAAAUUAAUUGCUUACUGGCUGGUUGGUAACACUCAAUUGUAAUAACUAGUCUGAUUGUG
rnacentral:lncRNA from 8 species